rnacentral:rRNA from 1 species
AUUGAACGCUGGCGGCAGGCCUAACACAUGCAAGUCGAGCGGUAACACAGGGAGCUUGCUCCCGGGUGACGAGCGGCGGACGGGUGAGUAAUGUCUGGGAAACUGCCUGAUGGAGGGGGAUAACUACUGGAAACGGUAGCUAAUACCGCAUAACGUCGCAAGACCAAAGAGGGGGACCUUCGGGCCUCUUGCCAUCAGAUGUGCCCAGAUGGGAUUAGCUAGUAGGUGGGGUAACGGCUCACCUAGGCGACGAUCCCUAGCUGGUCUGAGAGGAUGACCAGCCACACUGGAACUGAGACACGGUCCAGACUCCUGCGGGAGGCAGCAGUGGGGAAUAUUGCACAAUGGGCGCAAGCCUGAUGCAGCCAUGCCGCGUGUAUGAAGAAGGCCUUUGGGUUGUAAAGUACUUUCAGCGGGGAGGAAGGUGCUGAGGUUAAUAACCUCAGCAAUUGACGUUACCCGCAGAAGAAGCACCGGCUAACUCCGUGCCAGCAGCCGCAGUAA